GCGGCUGUUGGGGUGCUCGCGCAGCAGCUGUUCGAAGCGGCUGUUGGCCUGGGCGGCCUGGCCGGCGCGCGAUUCGGCCUCGCCCAGCCCCA
rnacentral:tRNA from 1 species